CUUGCUAAGUUUGAUGGCGACCGGCGCACGGGUGAGUAACACGUAUCCAACCUGCCGAUGACUCGGGGAUAGCCUUUCGAAAGAAAGAUUAAUACCCGAUGGCAUAGUUCUUCCGCAUGGUAGAACUAUUAAAGAAUUUCGGUUAUCGAUGGGGAUGCGUUCCAUUAGUUUGUUGGCGGGGUAACGGCCCACCAAGACUACGAUGGAUAGGGGUUCUGAGAGGAAGGUCCCCCACAUUGGAACUGAGACACGGUCCAAACUCCUACGGGAGGCAGCAUG
rnacentral:rRNA from 1 species